CUUGGCGUUCACUGCAAGCUAUAAGCUCUGCAAGUGGUGACCCCGACGUGAUCGCCUUGAAGUUACGCGUGAAGGAGGAGAGCUCAUUACUUUUCGGGGAAUCCUGAGAACAGGACUAGUCGUUGGAGAACCAACCAACAAUGAUGGUGAUGACUCGGAAGGCACCUGACAUCACCUGGGGACAGCUAAAGAAAUUGAAUCAACAAGCAUCUAUCCAGCUUGCCGCCGUGGAAGCCCCUGCAACUGCAGACAAUCGGUUUCUUACAUAUCUGGUGGUAAUUGGGGAAACUUCUGAGAAAGUAAGACAGACAUGGAUGUUGGAGUGGCGGGCACUUGCAGUUGGCUCUGUGCUGCCACCCGACGCAUCUAUGACCAGGGAAGAAUCAUGGAAGCUUAGCUUGCAUUGGAUGACCAGCACGCUAUAAGAAUUAAAGAAGGGGGGAAUAUGGGGGGGUGCACGACAGCAUAUUCAAGCUUAUGUACAAGGCGUUUGAGGUCGGGGCAUGGAAACAUACUGAGGCACUGUGUGUAUGUUAUUUGUGCAUGAGAAUGAAACUCCUUGACCCUGAAAACAGGACGGGGAGUGGAGUGUGUGGUGUGAUAAGGAACGCUGAAAACAGCCUCCGGAGAAUGCGGUUUGAGUGCUUUUACCAGGCCACAGGUGUCUCAUGACCCGACCUCAAAAAGGCCAUCUAGUGGAUGUUUGUGGUUUAACAAGCCCUUUCAAUGAAUACUUGGCGGACAGAUGCUGGGGCGGAGUCUCUUAGAAGAGCUGCCCCCGGCCCCCCUCAGCUGGAUUUGUCUGAGAACUCAUUCUUGGCGUUCACUGCAAGCUAUAAGCUCUGCGAUGGGCCCUGAAAAAAAAAAUCGAUACUACGAUGACCCUCAUAUGUAUUUCUUCAGCCCAGAUCCAGACCUUUGUCUACUCAACUUCUCCACGUGGAUACCUAAUAGGCAUCUCAAAUUUAAAUAUCCAAAACCAAACUCCUGACAUUAAACACAAGAAGCAAGAAAUAUGAACAUAUUUUCUGAUUCCACUAAUAUAAAAGUACAUAACAGUCAACACCAAACCAUAUUAUUCUUAUUUCUUGAAUUGAACUUUUAUUUUAAGUUCAGAGGUACAUGUACAGGUUUGUUACAUAGGUAAACUUGUGUCGUGGGGGUUUCUUGUAGAAAUUGUUUCGUCACCCAGUGAUUAAGCCUAGUACCCAUUCGUUAUUUUUCCUGCUCCUCUCCAUCCUCCCACCCUCCACCGUCCAAUAGGCCCCAGUGUGUGUUGUUCCCCUCUUUGUGUCCCCGUGUUCUCAUGGUUUAGCUCCCACUUGUAAGUGGGAAUAUGCGAUAUUUGGUUUUCUGUUCCUGCAUUAGUUUGCUAAGGAUAAUGGUCUCCAGAUCCAACCAUGUUCCUGCAAAGGACCUGAUCUCAUUCUUUUUUAUGGCCGCAUAGUAUCCCGUGGUGUAUAUGUACCACAUUUUCUUUAUCCAGUCUACCAUUGAUGGGCAUUUAGGUUGAUUCCAUGUCUUUGCUAUUGUGAAUAGUGCUGCAAUGAAUAUACACGUGCACGUGUCUUGAUAACAGAAUGAUAUAUUAUAUUCCUUUGGGUAUAAGCUAAGCGAUGAGAUUGCUGGGCCGAAUGGUAUUUCUGUCUUUAGGUCUUCGAGGAAUCACCACACUGUCUUCCACAAUGGUUAAACUAAUUUACACUCUCACCAACAGUGUAUAAGUGUUCCUUUUUCUCUGCAACCUCGCCAGUAUCCAUUAUUUUUUUACUUUGUAGUAAUAGCCAUUCUGACUGGCGUGAGAUGGUAUCUCAUUGUGGUUUUGAUUUGCAUUUCUCUAAUGGUCAGUGAUGUUCAGCUUUCUUUCACAGGAUUGUUGGCCGCAUGUAUGUCUUGUUUUGAAAAGUGACUGUUCAUGUCCUUUGCCCACUUUUUAAUGGGGUUGUUUGGUUUUUUCCUUGUGGAACUUGUUUAAGUUCCUUACAGAUGCUAGAUAUUAGACCUUUGUCAGAUCCAUAGUCUGCAAAAGUUUUCUCUUAUUCUGUAGGUUGUCUGUUCACUCUGUUGGUAGUUUCCUUUAGUGUGUAGAAGCUUGCUCUUUAGUUUAAUUAGAUCCCAUUUGUCAAUUUUUGCUUUUGUUGUAAUUGCUCUUGGUGUCUUCGUCAUGAAAUCUUUGCCCAUUCCUUGUCCAGAAAAUGAUUGCCUGGGUUGCCUUUCAGGGUUUUUAUAGCUUGGGGUUUUACAUUUAAGUCUGUAAUCCAUGUUGAGUUAACUUUUGUGUAUGGUGUGAUAUAGUUUGGCUGUGUUCCCACCCAAAUCUCCUCUUGAACUGUAGCUCCCAUAAUCCCCACGUGUUGUGGGAGGGAUCCGGUGGGCGGUAAUUGAGUCAUGGGGGUGGAUUUUUCCUGUGCUGUUCUCAUGAUAGCGAAUAAGUCUCAUGAGAUCUCAUGGUUUUAUAAAGGGCAGUUCCCCUGCACAUGCUGUCUUCCCUGUCGCCAUGUAACGCACAUCCUUUGCUCCUCCUUCGCCUUCUGCCAUGAUUGUGAGGCCUCCCAAGGCAUGUGGAACUGUGAGUCCAUUAAACUUCUUUUCUUUAUAAAUUACCCAGUCUCGGGUAUGUCUUUAUUAGCAGCAAGAGAACGGACUAGUACCUGGUGUAAGAAAGGGGUUCAGUUUCAGUCUUCCAUAUAUGGCUAGCCAGUUAUCCCAGCACCGUUUGCUGAAUAGGGAAUCCUUUCCCCAUUGCUUGCUUUCGUCAGGUUUGUCAAAGACCAGAUAGUUGUAGGUGUGGGGCCUCAUUUCUGGGUUCUCUAUUGUGUUCCAUUGGUCUCCAUGUCUGUUUUUGUACCAGUACCAUGCUGUUUUGGUUAGUGUAGGCCUGCGGUAUAGUUUGAAGUCGGGUAGCGUGAUGCCUCCAGCUUUGUUCUUUUUCACUUAGAAUUGCCUUGGCCAUUCAGACUCUUUUUCAGUUCCAUAUGAAUUUUAAAAUAGGUUUCCUCGUACUGUGAAGAAUGCCAAAGGUAACUUAAUAGGAAUCGCAUUGAAUCUGCAAAUUGCUUUGGGCACUAUGGCCACUUUAAUGAUAUUGAUUCUUCCUAUUCAUGAGCAGAAAUGUUUUUCCAUUUGUUUGUCACGUCUCUGAUUUCCUUGAGCAGUAUUUUGUAGUUCUUCUUGUAGAGAUCUUUCACCUCCCUGGUGUGGUGUAUUCCUGGGUAUCUUGGUGUGCGUAGCAAUUAUGAAUGGGACUGUGUUCCCGAUUUGGCUCUCUGCUUGACUGUUGUUGGUGUAUACGAAUGUUAGCGAUUUUUCACAUUGAUUUGGUAUCCUGAGACUUUGCUGAAGUUGAUUAUCAGCUUAAGGAGCUUUGGGGCUGAGACUGUGUGGUUUUCUAGAUUUAGGAACAUGUCGUCUGCAGGCAUACUGUAGUAUUAAAAGAAUGUAAUAUAGGACAUAGGACAGAAAAACGUAGAGAAAAAAGAGGAAAGAAGGAUCACAAAUGUAAAUGUGUUGGUUUCCUCUUGAAGGAGGAAUGAGGCUGAGAUCAGGCAGAGACACCCCAGGAGCUUUGGGGAAUGCUGGCGGUGUUCUCCUCUGUGACAUGGGGGUGUUUCUGUAGAGGUGCCCUUGAUAGUCACUUAUUAAACAACACACACAUAUUGUGAAGUUCUCUCUAUGUAUGUUACAUUUCAAAAUAAAGAGGGGCAAAAUUGCUAAUAACAAAUAACACACAUUUGUAGUUAAACACUUCUCACAAUCCACAGACCUGGAAAUGACUGAUUAGUUUUCUGUAUGUGUAGUUUUCCAGUUUUAAGAACGUUCUACAAAUGGAAUCAGACAUUAUGUAGAGUUUCAUAUUUGGUGUCUUUAGCACAAUGAAAUACAUAUAAGACCUCUAGAACUGCAAUGUACUCUUUCUUGACCUCAGUACUCAAUACGUGUUUUCCUCACUUCACAGUAGUUCAUUCACAGUCGAUUGGUUUUCUAAACUUGUAUAUAUGUGUAGUAUGCUUUAUAAAUAUCAUAUGAUAGUUAACUUUAUGUAAUUUGUUAUAUCUUGGUAAUGGACUUUUCUUAAAAAUGGACAGUAUCCCUAAGAAUACCCCGUACAUUUCCAUUGC
rnacentral:lncRNA from 1 species